CACAAAUGAUGCAAUCAGAGCCAAAAUUGGCAACACUAAACUCCUGUACGGAAGAAAUGAGUUGUUUAAAACCCUCCAGCAAAGCUGGGUUCACUGUACAAAAGCUUAUUCAUAGCUGAACAAUUCUCUUACUACGAGCUACUUCAUCCAGACAUUUUGAAAUGCUUGCCAUGGCCAAAUUAUUUUCCUGGCCAGGAGAGAUUCCGAAAAAUACAACCAUUUUACACAAUGUGAAAGCUGAAUUUUGGCAGAAAGAAGCAAUUGUAUGUAAUGGUAACCCAAUAGUAUAGAAUGCACAAGCUCCAGGAUACUCUGUAUGACCAGUUCAUGUCUUAUUUUAGUGGGCAAUCAAUUGAGGAUUGUACUUUGUUGAAAACCUGGAAAACAACGAUAUAGUAGUUUAGUGCUG
rnacentral:lncRNA from 1 species